rnacentral:rRNA from 1 species
CCUACGGGAGGCAGCAGUGAGGAAUAUUGGUCAAUGGACGAGAGUCUGAACCAGCCAAGUAGCGUGAAGGAUGACUGCCCUAUGGGUUGUAAACUUCUUUUAUAUGGGAAUAAAAUGUUCCACGUGUGGGAUUUUGUAUGUACCAUAUGAAUAAGGAUCGGCUAACUCCGUGCCAGCAGCCGCGGUAAUACGGAGGAUCCGAGCGUUAUCCAGAUUUAUUGGGUUUAAAGGGAGCGUAGGUGAUUGUUAAGUCAGUUGUGAAAGUUUGCGGCUCAACCGUAAAAUUGCAGUUGAAACUGGCAGUCUUGAGUACAGUAGAGGUGGGCGGAAUUCGUGGUGUAGCGGUGAAAUGCUUAGAUAUCACGAAGAACUCCGAUUGCGAAGGCAGUUCACUGGACUGCAACUGACACUGAGGCUCGAAAGUGUGGGUAUCAAACAGGAUUAGAUACCCGAGUAGUC